UACAGAGGGUGCGAGCGUUAAUCGGAUUUACUGGGCGUAAAGGGCGCGUAGGCGGUCGUAUGAGUGUGAUGUGAAAGCCCCGGGCUCAACCUGGGAAGUGCAUCGCAAACGAUACGACUGGAGUAUAUGAGAGGGUGGCGGAAUUUCCGGUGUAGCGGUGAAAUGCGUAGAGAUCGGAAGGAACGUCGAUGGCGAAGGCAGCCACCUGGCAUAAUACUGACGCUGAGGCGCGAAAGCGUGGGGAGCGAACAGG
rnacentral:rRNA from 1 species